rnacentral:rRNA from 1 species
CCUACGGGUGGCUGCAGUCGAGAAUCUUCGGCAAUGGGCGCAAGCCUGACCGAGCGACGCCGCGUGGAGGACGAAGGCCUUCGGGUUGUAAACUCCUGUCGAGGGGGAAGAAGGUCCGCAAGGGCUUGACUGAUCCCUGGAGGAAGCACGGGCUAAGUUCGUGCCAGCAGCCGCGGUAAGACGAACCGUGCGAACGUUAUUCGGAAUCACUGGGCUUAAAGCGCGUGUAGGCGAGGCGGCGCCGGGGGCUGAAAUCCCCCGGCUCAACCGGGGAACGGGCGCCGAUACGACCGUCCUCGAGGGACGUAGGGGGACCUGGAACUUCCGGUGGAGCGGUGAAAUGCGUUGAGAUCGGAAGGAACGCCCGUGGCGAAAGCGAGGUCCUGGACGUUUUCUGACGCUGAGACGCGAAAGCCAGGGGAGCGAACGGGAUUAGAUACCCUUGUAGUC